GACCUGCCCAAUGAGGAUUUUAAUGGCUGCGGUAAUUUGACCGUACAAAGGUAGCAUAAUCAUUAGUUUUUUAAUUGAAAGCUGGUAUGAAUGGUUGGACGAGAAGAUGACUGUCUCUGUUUAAUUGACUUAUAAUUUUAUGUUUAAGUUAAAAAGCUUAAAUAAUAUUAAAAGACGAGAAGACCCUAUAGAGUUUUAUAUAUAAAUGAGUUUUAGAUUGAUUGAAUAAGAGGCUAUUAAUAUUUGUUUAUGUAUUUUGUUGGGGUGAUAGGAAAAUUGGUUAAACUUUUUUUUGUUUUAUACAUUUAUUUAUGAGUAGUUGAUCCAUUAUUUAUGGUUAUAAGAUUAAAUUACCUUAGGGAUAACAGCGUAAUUUUUUUUGAGAGUUCAAAUCGAUAGGAAAGAUUGCGACCUCGAUGUUGGAUUAAAAUUUACUUAAGGUGCAGCAGCUUUAAGGGGGGGUCUGUUCGACCUUUAAAAUUUUACAUGAUCUGAGUUUAAACCGGUGUGAGCCAGGUUGGUUUCUAUCUUUAAUUAAUUGAUGUAUCUUAGUACGAAAGGACUUGAUAUAUGUAUUAUUUAUUUGUUUUUGAAUAUUAUUAUUACUUUGGC
rnacentral:rRNA from 1 species